AGUGUUAGGACGCCAUUUCUUCUUCCUUGGUGUUUAAUGGCAGUUGGCAUCCAAAAAAGUUGCAUUUCUGAUACAGGACACCAUUUCAAGUUAAAAGAGAAACUUCUAGGCCCUCAAAGUGUGCGCGCACGUUGAGGUGAUCACGCGCGGACAGUUUGGCUCUCAUGGCAGGAGCUCGAGAUGGUAAACAACGCUAAAUGACGAUUUUCCUGAGAAGUUUGUCAAGACGAGAGCGGUGUUAUGGAAGUCAUUCAGCGUUAGUCAACUUCCACUUGAUGCUUUAAAAGUAAGUGUAGUUGUCAAAGACAUAAUAUUUGACUGUUGCAUUAAAACUACAAAAAUGACAGCGUCUUCGCCAGAAAGUACUGACACCAGACACUUACUGGAUACAGGUCCAAGCUGUCUAGACAGUGGAUAUAAACGUGUAUGUUAAUUCAAGAUCUGAUGAAACAAGUCAAGCAAGGUCUGCUGGUGAGAUGUUUUCUCUCCUGUUGUGUCUCUCGGGUUUAAUCAAUGGAGAGCUGUGUGGGUGACUAUGAGAGGCCCUUUGGUUCUUUGAAAAUACACAAGAUCUUCAGAUUUCUAGUACCUGUUGAAGCAGCAGCCUCGGGACAAACACUGAGAACACAACAAGACAGAAGUGUUUUUGUCAGCAAAAAGACAGAAAUGUUGAGGAGCUUCUAGUGCACAAAGUACAGAUAUAGUGCAGACAUACAUAUCAUUUAAGGUAAUAAAAUAAAAUAAAAUAUAACACUAAUAAUAAAUAGAAUAGACAAUAAAUAAAAUAAAC